rnacentral:tRNA from 1 species
GCGGGUGUAGUUCAAUGGUAGAACUUCGUCCUUCCAAGACGAUAGCGUGGGAUCGAUUCCCAUCACCCGCUCCA